rnacentral:rRNA from 1 species
GACGAACGCUGGCGGCGUGCUUAACACAUGCAAGUCGAACGGAGUGGCGAACGGGUGAGUAACACGUGGGUGACCUGCCCUGCACUUCGGGCUACGCCUGGGAAACUGGGUCUAAUACCGGAUAGUGUGGGAUGGGCCCGCGGCCUAUCAGUUUGUUGGUGGGGUAAUGGCCUACCAAGGCGGCGACGGGUAGCCGGCCUGAGAGGGUGGACGGCCACAGUGGGACUGAGACACGGCCCAGACACCUACGGGAGGCAGCAGUGGGGAAUGUUGCACAAGCGGCGGUAGCCUGAUGCAGCGACGCCGCGUGGGGGAUGACGGCCGUCGGGUUGUAAGCUCCUUUCGUCAGCGACGCGGUAGAUGGAGAAGAAGAACCGGCUAACUACGAGCCAGCAGACGCGGUAAUUC